rnacentral:rRNA from 1 species
UACGGGGGGGGCAAGCGUUGUUCGGAAUUACUGGGCGUAAAGGGCUCGUAGGCGGCCAACUAAGUCGGAUGUGAAAUCCCCAGGCUCAACCUGGGAACUGCAUUCGAUACUGCCGUGCUUGAGGACUGGAGAGGAGACUGGAAUUUACGGUGUAGCGGUGAAAUGCGUAGAUAUCGAUAAGGAAGGCCAGUGGCGAAGGCGGGUCUCUGGACAGUUCCUGACGCUGAGGCACGAAGGCCAGGGGAGCAAACGGG